AAAGGUUCAUUUUGCGCCGGAGUUCUCCUUUAAAUUUCCAUCAAUGGCGGGGAAAGAGUUAAUAGUUUCACAAAAGUCUUAAAUUUCCAUCAAUGGUGGGGAAAUAGUCAAUUGUAAAUGUAAAUAAAAUUCACGCAUCCCGAAAUAUUCAGCAGAAACAGAA